UACGUAGGUGGCAAGCGUUGUCCGGAUUUACUGGGCGUAAAGGGCGUGCAGGCGGUCUGUUAAGUUCAGGGUGAAAGCUCCCGGCUCAACUGGGAGAGGUCCUUGGAUACUGGCAGACUUGAGGGAGGUAGAGGAGAGUGGAAUUCCUGGUGUAGCGGUGAAAUGCGCAGAUAUCAGGAAGAACACCCGUGGCUAAGGCGGCUCUCUAGUACGGUACUGACGCUGAGACGCGAAAGCGUGGGGAGCGAACAGG
rnacentral:rRNA from 1 species